rnacentral:rRNA from 1 species
GUCCACGCCGUAAACGAUGUCGACUAGCCGUUGGGAUCCUUGAGAUCUUAGUGGCGCAGCUAACGCAUUAAGUCGACCGCCUGGGGAGUACGGCCGCAAGGUUAAAACUCAAAUGAAUUGACGGGGGCCCGCACAAGCGGUGGAGCAUGUGGUUUAAUUCGAAGCAACGCGAAGAACCUUACCUGGCCUUGACAUGCUGAGAACUUUCCAGAGAUGGAUUGGUGCCUUCGGGAACUCAGACACAGGUGCUGCAUGGCUGUCGU